CAAGACUCCAUCUCAAAAGAAAAAAAAAAAGAGCCGGGUUUGGUGGCUCACGCAUGUAAUCCCAGCACUUUAGGAGGCUGAGGCGGGCGGAUCACCUGAAGUCAGGAGUUCGAGACCAGGCUAGCCAACCUGGGGAGACCCAGUCUAAAAAUACAAAAAAUUAGCCAGGUGUGGUGGUGCACGCCUGUAAUCCCAGCUACUUAGGAGGCCAAGGCAGGAAAAUAGCUUGAACCUGGCAGGCAGAAGUUGCAGUGAGCCGAGAUCAUGCCACUGCACUCCAGCCUGGGCAACAGAGUGACACUCGAAAGAAAAGAAAAGAAAAGAAGGAGAAAGAAAAAGAAAAAGAGCCUGCUGCCAUGGGAGGUGAGUAGUAAGUUCCCCGUUGCUGGAGGAGUACAAGCACUGCUACUCCAAGGAUCACUUGGCGGGUAAUAGAGGAGCUUGAAUUCAAUAACCUUCAUUUAUUUGUACAUCCCACAAAUGUUUGUGGAGCACCUACUGUGUGCCAGGCACUGUCCCAGACACUGGUAUAACAAGGCAGAAUCCUUGCCUGCAUAGGACUUACAUCCCUGCAGUCCUGAGCACAUGCUGUUCCAGAGGGGGCAGAGCAGGCAGUGGAGGGCUGGGCUGGGCUGGGCAGAGGGCAAUCCAGGGAGGCUUCUCUGAGGACGGUGCUCGAGUGUUGGUAGCCAGGCCGGGAACAGGACACACACCUGAUAAUGCAGUGAGCUCACUUCAUGUCUGCCCCACACAGAACUGCGAGCUCCUUGUGGGCCAGACCGUGCACCUGCUCAGUGCCCAGCACACAAUAGAUGCAUAAUAACUGCUAGUUCACCUGAAGUUAACUGAUAAAAGGCCCUCUGGGUCUCAGCAUCAGCAGGUGCAAAUGUCCGGAGGCCUCGAGAGCUAUGAGAACAUUGGUGCCUCCAGGAGAUGCAGGAGUACCUGGAGAGGCCACAUCACAAGCCAGGAGCAUGGCGAGCUGGGCUCUGACUCACUGGCCCCCUGAGUCUCUCCAGGGCAUCUCUGCUCACCUUCCUGCCAUUCUGCCGCUCCUUGCUCUGGUCAGCAGGGGGCUCCCACCACACGUGGAUAAGAGGUUUCAACACCACAGCCAGACUGGGUCCCAGGACUGACCGGCUGUCCCUUGCAGGGAUGGGAUCUCUGUCCACAGUAGAGCCCUGGCCUGGACAUCCUAAAGGGGGAGGCACCUGAUCUACCAGGGCCCAAGGGCUCGAACAGCCCAGUAGACACCCAUGGACACAAACAAGCAUGGGCCUCCCUGCCACCCGUGCUGGGCACAGUCACCCCGCUGGGGCUGGCAUUGGGCCUGGCACUGGGAGACUCUCGUACUCUGGCUUUCUGGCUGUGGGGCCGCGAACGAGUUGCUUACCCUCUCUGGAUGGGAUUUUCCUCCCUGAGGGGUUGGGCCAGCACAGCCUCCUCUGCCCAAGAUCCACCAACCACCCUCCAGGAGAAAAGCCAGACUCCGCAGGGCCUCGCUGGGGAGAGCAAGCUCUUCCCGUGGCAGUUCCAGGCCAGGCGCUGGGCUCUGGAGAAACGUGGGCGAAUCUGGUCUGCAGGCAGGGCCAGCGGAGGAGGAAGAAAUGACCUUGCGGUGAGGAGUGACAGUAAGGAUGAGGGAAGGGGGGCUGUGGGGCCUGGGGAGACCAAAGCACAGAGACCCCACCCAGGAGUCUGGCAUAUUUGAGAAGCGGUGAAUUCUUUGCUGGACCUGGAGGAGGCCUGCCUGGAAUAGCGGGACUUGGAAUAGAACGGAAGCGGAGCCACACUGGUCAGCCUGCAUGGGUGACUUUACCAGGACGAUGACGGGGAGCCAGGGAAGGGUUCAAAGCAGGAGAGAGACUCUGCUGGAGGCCAUCUGGGGAUAGCCCCUCAGAUUGACCACUCAAGGGAUGGAUUAAGGAGGCUAGGUGGGCCACAGGGGGCUGGAGAAGGUGAGGGAGGAACAGAGCGGUUGCUGAACAGGAGGAAAGAGGCUUGAAGGGCCUCCGGGACUAAGACUUGUGGGAGGUGACAGCAUUCCCCAAAACAGCCCAGCAAAGGGCAGGUGGGGGGAAGGAGUUGGGAAGAGGGGAGGUGAACAGGUCACACUGUGUCAGAGGGGCAGCAGGGCCUCCCCAUGGACACCUUCAGCUGCGAGUUAGACAAGCGCCCUGGGCUCAGCAGACAGCCCUUCCCACCUCCUCUUCCGCCCCCUCUUAUCUCCUCCUCCUCUCCCCCCUCCCACCUCUCCCACUUGCCCCUCCCUCCCCUGUCUACCCGAUUCCACCCCCUCCCACUUCUUGGCCAUUUAGUCUUGGCUCAGUGGUGUGUACUGGCAGGCACCUGGGUCCUGGGGUCCACCUGCAGGCCUGGGUUCCAAUCCAAGUGUGUGGGUUCUUAACAGCACGUGACCCUCAAAAGUAACUCACAAAGACCCAGGUUUGCCCUGGACACCCCUGCCCACCCCCACCAUGCCCAGCAUCAAUAUGUCAUGGCCAAAGCCGCCAACCAGGGAGCACUCACUAAGGCCAGCGCCUCCCGCUACAUGCUGUCUUCUAACCUUCCACACUCCCUAAGCAGGCGUGACUAUCCUCACUUUACAGAGAAGGGCCGCAGGCUCGAUCUGGCCCAGCCGAGAAGGACCUGAGCCGGCAUGGAACCAGCACUAUCUGAUUUGUUCUGAUUUGAAACCUGUGUCAGGGCGGCCACAAACUCAUCAUCCAUAAUAGGCCCUUCCUAUGAGUGCUAGAAUCUGGAUUUCAGGGGAUGCCAGGACAACAGGCACAAACCAGGAUUGCUCCAGGCACCCCAAGACAUAUGUCUGAUAUGACCCUAGAUAUCAGACAUAUGCACAAGGCGCAGCAAGGAACUGGGGUCACUCUGGGUGGUCCUGUGGACUGGAAGAGUUGUGCCCCGUGGCUGCUUUAUCCUGGAGAAGGAAAGGACAGCUGUUUCCUCCGGCUCAGCCUCUACCACUACCAAUUCACCCAGAGAACUUUUCUCCAUGGUGAGUCUCCCCAAGUCCUACCCCAAAGUGGCACUGUGUGGACUGACACUAAAUUGGGUAAACCUGGUCUACUGCAUGCCCUCAGCAGAUAUUAGCGGUCACUGUUACGUUCUUGAUGGAGUCUCCCUUGAGAGGGCUGAGAUCAAGGACUCUGAACAGGACAGAAGCAUGAAAGGUCCCUCCAGCCCCAUCCAGAAAUGCCCUGGCCUAUAAAAGCAUCCUUCCUGUUCUUUCAUGAGGAAACCAAAGUUCACAGACAUUCAGGGACAAGCCCUAAAUCACCCAGCACAGAGGCUCCAUGAAGAAGGCCGAGGCAAAAGGUGCUGGCAUUUGUAGAACAUACUUCAUCUCAUCCUCCCAGGAGCCCACAAGGUAAACAGGAUUAUUCCCAUUUAACAGACGAGGAUGUGGAGGCUCAGGAGAGCUUGUGACUUGCCCAGAGUCACACAGCCAGGAACAGGCAUCUGAUCCGAUUGUUAAGGCCAGGAGGACCCACUGGCCGGAAGGCUCCAGCAGAAGGGGAAGAUUAAUUCUGUGACCUUUCCAGUCCCUUUGAUCCUUUGAAGCUAAAGCUUAAUUCUUCUCUUUCUCCUUCCCCCAAGGGAUUUUUAGUUCAUAAAUAAGAGCCCAGAGGGGACCAACCUUUGAUCCAAAGAAAUGAUUUUUUAAGAAAACAUCCCCUAUUUAAAAAUUAAUAAAACAUGCUCAUUGCAGAAAAUUGGAAAGCGCAAUGAAGAGGAAGAAAAAUCUUAGACCAAAAAACGAAUGAGAUCAUGUCCUCUGUUGCAACAUGGCUAGAGCUGGAGGCCAUUAUCCUAAGCAAACAAACAUAGACCGGAGCAGAAAACCAAAUACCGCAUGUUCUCACGUAUAAGUGGAAUCUAAACAAUGACGACACAUGAAUACCAGGAGAGAGACAACAGACAUUGGGGCCUUCUGGAGGGUGGAGAGUGGGAGGAGGGAGAGGAUUAGAAAAAAAUACCUGGUGGGUACUAUGCCUAUUACCUGGGUGACAAAAUCGUCUGUAUACCAAACUCACAUGGCAGUUGAUCUAUAUAAGAAACCUGCAGAUGUAUCCCAAACCUAAAAGUUUAAAAACAAAUAAACAAAAGAAAAAACU